rnacentral:rRNA from 1 species
CAGCAGCCGCGGGAAUACGAAGGGGGCUAGCGUUGUUCGGAUUUACUGGGCGUAAAGCGCACGUAGGCGGAUCGAUCAGUCAGGGGUGAAAUCCCAGAGCUCAACUCUGGAACUGCCUUUGAUACUGUCGAUCUGGAGUAUGGAAGAGGUGAGAGGAAUUCCGAGUGUAGAGGUGAAAUUCGUAGAUAUUCGGAAGAACACCAGUGGCGAAGGCGACUGACUGGACAAGUAUUGACGCUGAGGCACGAAAGCGUGGGUAGCAAACAGGAUUAGAUACCCCAGUAGUCCCUGUCUCUUAUAC